rnacentral:rRNA from 1 species
GCUUACGGCCAUACCACCCUGAACACGCCCGAUCUCGUCUGAUCUCGGAAGCUAAGCAGGGUCGGGCCUGGUCAGUACUUGGAUGGGAGACCGCCUGGGAGUACCAGGUGCUGUAAGCU